AUUGGAGGAACCCUUGAAAGAAGGAAGAGUAUUUAGCUCAGGGAAGACAGAAAAAAAUGAACAUUCCAGAUGACUACAUUGGACUCUGUUUCCGUGGCAUGAUGAAGACGACAUAUCUAUCUGGUGUUCUUUUAGGCAGAGGAGCCACAUAAUAAAUGCAAGCUGGUGUGGCUGACAUUAGAAGAAACUCAUCCCACACUAGUCAAAGAAAAAAAAUCAAGUAAAAAAAACACAACAAAAAACAGAAACGAAGAUAUUGAGCAAGGUGGAGGACAGCAGCCAAAGAAGUUGAACACCAUAUAUAUAGCAUAUCUACUGCAAAGGUAUAAUAAUCCACAGAUGUGCAAGCCAAUGGACUCACAGAUGCAAAGUUUGUUUUUUCCGUGAGCUGAAAAGAAGUGCAAAUUGAAACUAAGUUGAUCUGGCAUCCCAUACAUUUUACACACAUCUGAUAGUAUUGUUAUUAAAAAUCUACCAGAAGGGCAGAGCAAAGGCA